rnacentral:lncRNA from 1 species
GAGGAAGAUGGAUACUGGUUAGAUAUCGAAUACGAGGGUGCCCCAUCAUACUGCAAAUAUUGUUGUAUGCAAGGACCUGAUCUACUCUCCUGCAGAAAUAAGAAAAGAGAUGAAGAAGUUCAAGCUCAAGCCUCAGCCAACACUGAGGAGAUUGAUGAUCAAUGGAGAGUUCAAAAAGGAAACAAGAAAUUACAUCAACACACAAUUGGAAAUACUAACUUGAAUAUGCUACCACAACAACCUCAUCAGGAAGUCAUUCUCAUAGGGAAAAAUUCACAAUCAGAGAGGGCAAAUCAACCAACUAUACAACUAACAAAUGAUGGAACACAAGACAAACAGAAAUAAGUUUUGGACAAGAACAAUCCAGUUGAACAUAUAGCCCAAUUGCACCAGGCAUCGAAGCACAAGGAUGGACCAAAGAAAAAAGUGCAAUGGCAAGUUAAUCAGAGCAAACAACAGACCAAUACUCAUAAGCUUCAUAGUACAAAACAACCAACUCCACUAACAAUUGAGUCAAGCCAAGUUAAUCUAAAUGCAAAGGCUAAUAAACCUCAAAACAUAACACCUCAGACCAGUCCUAAUGUACAAUCUCCCAUUAAGAAAGGUUUUUAGAUGCUCCUUGAUAGUACUACCAAGCCAAAACACCAAAGUAGUUCUGAUAUCGCCUCUACUUUUGUUGUUCCACAUCAGCAAAAUAUAUCCAUCUCAGUUCCAAAAAUUCGAAAGACAUUACAAAUUAGCCUUCCACUACCAAGAAACCAGACAGAAAAUGCACACACAAAUCCCACUUCUCAAGAGCCUCCAGACCCUCAUCCUCCUGACAAUCCAGCCUCCGAAUCCUAUCCACCAGCUAACAAUCCUAUUAACCAUCCCUUAGAGAGUAGUGAUGAAUUAGAGCUGGAUAUUGUAAAUGAUGAAGAUUCCGAAUUUGAAGGGGGAAGAUUCAGAAAUUGCUGAAAAUGAUCAAGUUGUUAGUGAUUCUGAGAAUAACUUUGAAAGUAUUGAAGAUCAGUCUGAAAGUGAGGAAACUCUUGAUGCUCAAUCAGCUACCAGCGAUGAUCAUACUAACAGAUUGCUAGAAGCUUUCUCACAUCAAUCACCACCACCAGAUGAAAUCGUUCAAGCCUUUGGAGAUGCAACUGUCAGACACCACCUCUCACCUAGGGGGCAUGAGGUAACCAAAGGUGGACUCUCAUUAACCAGAGGUGGACACACAUUUAGGGAGGGCAGAGGUAAUAGAAGAGGCAAAGGCAUUCCUCAUGUAAAAUUUUCACAGGACAAAUGAUGAUCAAUCUACAUAUUUUUAAUAAUUAAGUCACUUAUUUGAAAUAUUAGAGGCAUCACUUCACAAGGUACCUUUGACAGACUUAAGCAACUCAAAAGAACUCACAACUUUUUAUUCAUUACUAUCAUGGAACCUUUCAGCGGAAGUCAAAAGUUAGAAAAAUUUAGGAGAGGACUUGGGUUUGAUUUUGCAUAUGCCAAUUGCAAUAAUAAAAUCUGAUUCUUUGGUGAUAGCUCUAUCAACUGUAUUGUUAUGGAAGACCUUCCUCAACUUAUCAAUUGCUCAAUUGAUAAUAAUGGAGAGACUUUAUACAUGACUUUAGUGUAUGCUAAAUGCGAAGCUCAUCUCAGGGAGACUCUAUGGGAUAACAUCAAAUCUUUUUCUAAUGGAGUUAGAUCUCCAUGGAUGGUGAUUGGGGAAUUUAGCGCUAUUACUGAUCCUCAGGAGAAAAAAGGGGGAAAAUCCGCAAUAUGUCUAAUAACUCUCCCUUCAUCAGAUGCAUUGUGGAUAGUGGCCUUUUGGAUCUUGGUUACACUGGCAGUCCUUUUACGUGGUGUAAUGGCUGGGCACCUACUAAGAGGAUAUGUGCAAAGAUUGGAUAGAGCUCUUGUUAACUCGGAAUGGUUAGAGAAUUUUGCAGAUACCACUGUCACACACUUGGUCAGAACUGGAUCUGAUCAUGCUCAUUUGCUUGUCUCCACUUCCAAUCCACAAUUGGAGCCUAAAAAGUAUUUCAGAUUCUUAGAUCUUUGGACUGAACAAGAGGGUUUUAUGCAAGUGGUGGAACAAGCUUGGAAACUACAAGUAGAAUGAGGCACUCUGUGGAGAUUUCAUCUCAAGCUAAAAAAUGCCUGUAAGAGUCUUUUAUUUUGGUCCAAGAAUUCUAUUGGGAAUAUUUUUGAUAAGACCAAGAAAUUGUAGAAUAUGCUUGAGGUAUUAGAGGAAAUAUGUCUAAAUGACAAUUCUGAAAGUAAUAGGAUGGAAUAUAAUAAUGUGAAUGCACAUUUGAUUAGACACAUAAAAAAUGAAGAGUCAUUUUGGAGAUAAAAAGCUGGCUUGAAGUGGUUUACGGAUGGCGACAAUAACAUUAGGUUCUUUCACUCUGUAAUUAAUUCCAGAAGGAAAAAAUUACAACUUACAAGAAUCAAGAAGCAAGAUGGUACCUGGAUUAAGAACAAAGAUGAUAUAGCUACUGAAGCUAUUAACUUUUUUGAGUAGCAGUUCACACAAGAAAAUACUUGCAGCAAUUUUUCAAAGCUCAAGGGGCUUAACAAAGUAAUAAAUGAAGAAGAUAACUUGGUUUUAGAGGAACUCCCUACUAUGGAUGAAUUGAAACAGGUAGUAUUUUCCAUGGAGAGUAGUAGCUCGCCUGGCCCUGAUGGCAUUUCUGGAAAAUUCUUUCAACACUGCUGGAAUAUAAUUUUUGUUGAUCUCUAUCAGGUGGUUUUGGAAUUCUUUUUUGGGCAACCACUUCCCAGAUCAUUCACCCAUACAUGCCUUGUCCUUAUCCCUAAAAUCGAUAACCCGCAACAAUUCACUGAUUUCAGGCCUAUUAGUCUAAGCAACUUCACUUUCAAAAUUAUCUCAAAGUUGCUUAAUAGUAGGCUAGCCCCUCUUAUGAACAUGAUUAUUUCUCCAAACCAAACUGGUUUCCUUAAAGGUAGGUCAAUCUCAGAUAAUGUCAUUCUUACUCAAGAACUUAUUCAUAACUUGAAUAGGCCCAAUGUCAAUGGUAAUAUAGUUUUUAAGCUAGACAUGGCAAAGGCCUUUGACAGAGUUCCUUGGGACUACCUCUGUCAAACCAUGAGGCUAUUAGGCUUUUCUGAAUGUUGGAUUGAUAUGGUUGCAAGAUUGAUCUCAAAUAAUUGGUACUCCAUCAAUGUCAAUGGAGUGAGACAUGGGUUUUUCAAAUAUUCUAGGGGCCUUAAGCAAGGAGACACACUAUCCCCCUCACUUUUUGUCAUUGGAGCAGAAUUGCUAUCUUACAUGAUGGACCAGCUGGUACAUGAUAAUUUUAUUAAUUUUUCUAUGGAUCGAGGCGGUCCUUUAAUCACUCACCUCACAUAUGUUGAUGACACCAUUCUCUUCUCCUUUGGUGACUUGUUAUCUAUUUCUAUUAUGAUGAAAAAGUUGGAGAACUAUGAACAAGCCUCAGGACAAAUGGUGAAUAAAAGAAAAUCUAUAUUCCUGGUAUCUUCUAAAACUCCUUCAACUGUAAUUGAAGACAUCAAAAGCAUUACUGGUUUUUCCCAUUCGUAAUUUCCUUUUACUUAUUUGGGGUGCCCUAUUUACCUAGGGAGAAAGAAAAUUUGCUACUUUGGAAAUAUGGUGGCCAAAAUAGCAAAUAGAACUCAGGGUUGGAAAAGGGAAAAUUCUUUCUUUUGGGGGUAGAGCAGCCCUUAUCAGGUCUGUGUUGCAUUCUAUUCUUUUACAUAUCAUAUUUGUUGUGCAUCCACCAAAAACUACCCUUGAUCAUAUUGAAAAAUCUCUUGCUAGUUUUUUUCGGGGUACAAUAGAGAGCAAUACAAAGUUAUCAUUGGUUUUCCUGGAAGAAUUUAUGGAGGGAAGGGUAGGUUUUAUAUCAUUGCAUGACAUUUGCAUUUAUUUUGCUGCUAAAGCCUGGUAGAAUUUCAGACUCAAAAGUCUCUUCUCACCUCUUCCUGGAAGCUAAAUGCUGCAAAAGAUAUCACCCGGUUGCUAGAAAAAAGAGUUAUACUCAGUCACACUCUUGGAGAAGGCUAAUGGAUAUCAAGAAAGACUAUGAAGGGCAUAUUUUAUGGAAUGUAGGAAAAGAUAACCUUUCCUUUUGGUGGGAUAACUGGACCAAUAAAGAAGCCCUUGCUAAUUUAGUUCAACAAGGAAACAAGUCCCAGAAGAUAAAAGUGGCUGAUUUUAUUGCGCACAACCAAUGGAAGAUGGAUAAACUCUGUGAUACUCUCCCUUCUAAUUUGGUUUAUCAUAUUCAAUCUAUCAAGAUUUCUCUUGAAGAGAAAGAUCUUCCUAUUUGGCUUGCAAACCCCACUGGAUCUUUUUCUAGUAAAUUAGCAUGGAAAACUUUUAGAAAAUCUAGAGGCUCUUCACUCACUACAACUAAGAUCUGGCAUCGUAAACUACCAUUUAAAGUAUCUUUUCAUGUUAUGAGAAUAUUAAAUGGUAAGCUUGCAACUGAUGACUCUUUGAUCAGGUUUGGUGUUCAUGGCCCCUCAAAAUAUUAUUGCUGCAUCAAUAACAAUAUGGAAACUACAAACCAUUUAUUUAGAGAUGGUGAUGUGGCUCUAAAAGUUUGGAAAUAUUUUCAAGAUGCUUGUGGAUUGUCUAUUAACUCUGUUGGUGGUAUUCAUGCCAAAUUCAUUAGAUGGUGGCUCAUCAAACCACAGAACAAAGUUCAUGACAUGAUAUUGCAAUAUCUUCCCUCUGUUAUCUGUUGGGAAAUAUGAAAAAUAGAUGUACCUACAAAUAUGAGGGUAUCAGAAGUUCAACCCAUAGAAUCAUUGAUCAAAUUACCUACUUGAUACAACUGUUGCUUUUUACUGAAUUUCCUUCUCUGCCUUUUAUGUCUUCUUUCCCGAGGAUAUGUCAAUUGGUAGACAUAAUCAAACCUCAACUACAUAUUCUUCCUAUGAGAUGGAAUAAACUGAGUGUUGAGGAAUUCAAAUUAAAUGUUGAUGGUUGUAGCAAAGGAAACCCAUGUAAUGCAGGAGGUGGAUAGGUGUUAAGAGAUCAUCUCAGACCUUUGAUCAUGGCUUUCACUGUUUACUUUGGUAGUUGCUCAAACAAUUCAGCUAAAUCUCAAGCAAUCAAAACUGGAGUUAGAUGGUGCUUAGAUCAUGGCUUCAGCAGGUUGACAGUUGAGUCAGACUCUUUUGUUGUGAUUCAGAUGAUAAAAGGAGAAUUUUCUACUACUUGACAUAUAAAGGAUGAUAUCUUAGCGAUUCAAGCAAUGAACCUAAUUGGAAAUUUUCAUUAUGUUCACACACUCAGAGAAGGUAAUAUCCCAGCAGAUCUCCUAGCUAAUAUAGCUGAAGUGGAGAGGAAGAGUCAGUUCUUCACUGAGGCUAUAAAUCUUCCAAGGCAGUUUAUAUCCUUAUUGAAGAAUGACGAGAAAGGGAUGCCAAAUUUCAAAAUCAGGGUAAGAAAGAGGACCUUUAUUUUUUAUCCAGGCUGACUGAUCUUUCUUAGUUCCUUUAUUUUGUGAGCUAAUCUGUUUAAGAAGCAACCCUCCUAAUUGUUGUUGGACUAGUCAAAUUGUAAUGGAUGGACUUAGUCCAUCCCAACUUUCCUCUGAGAGGUUUGGUUUAUGCCCCCUCUAUGUACAUCUUGACUUAUCAAUGCAUUCUCCGGUGGGGAGCUCUUCUUGUUUAAAAAUAAGUCAUAUAUAAAAAU